rnacentral:rRNA from 1 species
GAUGAACGCUGGCGGCGUGCUUAAUACAUGCAAGUCGAACGAACGGACGAGAAGCUUGCUGCUUUGUUGUUUGCGGCGGGCGGGUGAGUAACGCGUGGAUACCCUCCCUAUAUGACUGGUAUAACUUCGGAACACCGGCGCUUAUCCGGGAUAAUAUUUUGCACCGCAUGGGUGAAUAGAAAAAUUCGGCGUUGCUGGAACUUAUCGCUGGUUCCGAGCUGCAUUAGCUGGUUGGUAAGGUCACGGCUUACCACGGGAACGAUGCCUAGCCGACCUGAGAGGGGGAUCGCCCACACUGGAAGUGGGACACGCUCCUGGGUCCUACGGGAGGCAGCAGUAGGGAAUCUGCCGCAAUGGGCGAGAGCAUGACGGAGCAACGCCGCGUGAGAUAUGAAGGUCUUCGGAUCGUAAUGCUCGGUUAUUAGGUAAGAACAUAUUUGGAAGUAACUGUACACAGCUUGACGGUACCGAAUCAGAAAGCCACGGCUAACUACGUG